UGGGGAAUAUUGGACAAUGGGGGCAACCCUGAUCCAGCGAUGCCGCGUGGGUGAAGAAGGCCUUCGGGUUGUAAAGCCCUUUAGGUUGGGAAGAAGGCUGUGUGGGGAUAAUCCAUGCAGUUUGACUGUACCGACAGAAUAAGCACCGGCAAACUCUGUGCCAGCAGCCGCGGUAAUACAGAGGGUGCGAGCGUUAAUCGGAUUAACUGGGCGUAAAGGGCGCGUAGGCGGUGAGGUGUGAGUGAUGUGAAAGCCCCGGGCUUAACCUGGGAAGCGCAUCGCUGACUACCUGACUGGAGUAUAUGAGAGGGUGGCGGAAUUUCCGGUGUAGCGGUGAAAUGCGUAGAGAUCGGAAGGAACGUCAAUGGCGAAGGCAGCCACCUGGCAUAAUACUGACGCUGAGGCGCGAAAGCGUGGGGAGCGAACAG
rnacentral:rRNA from 1 species